GGUGGGGUUCCCGAGCGGCCAAAGGGAGCAGACUGUAAAUCUGCUUGAUAGGUUGAUCCUUCCCCCACCACCA
rnacentral:tRNA from 1 species